ensembl:lncRNA
CUUUGUUAAGCUCUUAACCUCCUACAAAGCUCCAGCAAUUUAAUCACGUUGAGAAAGCCUUUUCAGUUGGAAAGCCAAUGACAAGCAACGGCACACAGCAAAAUGCACGAAGGACAAAUCCAGCACCCUUUGAAAUCAACCCCUCGGAAGGAAGAAUUAGCAACCUGGACAGUGCUGCAGGCAACUCCAGCCCUCCUGCAUCUGCUGCUCGAUCACACUCACUCACAGCCAGCUCUGGUCCUUCCUCACCACACUGCAGAAAUCCUAGGAGAGCUGCGUAUCUAACAUCUCAGACAAACACAGACAAUGACCAGAAAAUUAAAACUGCCGGGAAUAAAAGAUAACACAAAGAGAGCCCUGGAGAAACUGCAAUCUACAGCCCACAGAUUCUGCUGCUCUUUGAGCAACGGGGCUGCACCAAGAGCAUACCCAGCUCACUUCACCAACUUAAACACACAUAUAUACCCGUGGAAAGCAAAAUGUAACACAGCAGGCAGUGCUAGAGCAUCACAACAAGUCGCGGAUUUAAUGCAAGCUCUUUGGGAUGCACUAAAAGCACCAACUGCCCCUACUGUCCUUGGCACAAAAUGUACCAGUCUGCCUUGGAUCCCCAGUUCUGGGGUUCCAAACAUGCACUGCCACACCACAACCAGUGUGCCUGCCCAUGGCCAUGGCACCAAGGUGCACAGGUAACAC